UACGGAGGGUGCAAACGUUGCUCGGAAUCAUUGGGCGUAAAGCGCACGUAGGCGGUCUUUUAAGUCGGAUGUGAAAGCCCCAGGCUCAACCUGGGAAGUGCAUCGGAAACUGAAAGGCUAGAGUACGGAAGAGGGUCUCGGAAUUCCCGGUGUAGAGGUGAAAUUCGUAGAUAUCGGGAGGAACACCAGUGGCGAAGGCGGAGACCUGGGCCGAUACUGACGCUGAGGUGCGAAAGCGUGGGGAGCAAACGGG
rnacentral:rRNA from 1 species